rnacentral:rRNA from 1 species
GGCGGACGGGUGAGUAACACGUGGGCAACCUGCCUGUAAGACUGGGAUAACUUCGGGAAACCGGAGCUAAUACCGGAUAAUCCUUUUCUACUCAUGUAGAAAAGCUGAAAGAUGGCUUCGGCUAUCACUUACAGAUGGGCCCGCGGCGCAUUAGCUAGUUGGUGAGGUAACGGCUCACCAAGGCGACGAUGCGUAGCCGACCUGAGAGGGUGAUCGGCCACACUGGGACUGAGACACGGCCCAGACUCCUACGGGAGGCAGCAGUAGGGAAUCUUCCGCAAUGGACGAAAGUCUGACGGAGCAACGCCGCGUGAGUGAUGAAGGUUUUCGGAUCGUAAAACUCUGUUGUUAGGGAAGAACAAGUACCGUUCGAAUAGGGCGGUACCUUGACGGUACCUAACCAGAAAGCCACGGCUAACUACGUGCCAGCAGCCGCGGUAAUACGUAGGUGGCAAGCGUUGUCCGGAAUUAUUGGGCGUAAAGCGCGCGCAGGUGGUUUCUUAAGUCUGAUGUGAAAGCCCCCGGCUCAACCGGGGAGGGUCAUUGGAAACUGGGAGACUUGAGUGCAGAAGAGGAAAGUGGAAUUCCAAGUGUAGCGGUGAAAUGCGUAGAGAUUUGGAGGAACACCAGUGGCGAAGGCGACUUUCUGGUCUGUAACUGACACUGAGGCGCGAAAGCGUGGGGAGCGAACAGGAUUAGAUACCCUGGUAGUCCACGCCGUAAACGAUGAGUGCUAAGUGUUAGAGGGUUUCCGCCCUUUAGUGCUGCAGCAAACGCAUUAAGCACUCCGCCUGGGGAGUACGGCCGCAAGGCUGAAACUCAAAGGAAUUGACGGGGGCCCGCACAAGCGGUGGAGCAUGUGGUUUAAUUCGAAGCAACGCGAAGAACCUUACCAGGUCUUGACAUCCUCUGACAAUCCUAGAGAUAGGACGUUCCCCUUCGGGGGACAGAGUGACAGGUGGUGCAUGGUUGUCGUCAGCUCGUGUCGUGAGAUGUUGGGUUAAGUCCCGCAACGAGCGCAACCCUUGAUCUUAGUUGCCAGCAUUCAGUUGGGCACUCUAAGGUGACUGCCGGUGACAAACCGGAGGAAGGUGGGGAUGACGUCAAAUCAUCAUGCCCCUUAUGACCUGGGCUACACACGUGCUACAAUGGAUGGUACAAAGGGCUGCAAGACCGCGAGGUUUAGCCAAUCCCAUAAAACCAUUCUCAGUUCGGAUUGCAGGCUGCAACUCGCCUGCAUGAAGCCGGAAUCGCUAGUAAUCGCGGAUCAGCAUGCCGCGGUGAAUACGUUCCCGGGCCUUGUACACACCGCCCGUCACACCACGAGAGUUUGUAACACCCGAAGUCG